rnacentral:rRNA from 1 species
CUCCAGAAUUCAUAUGCUUGUCCCAAAGAUUAAGCCAUGCAUGCCAAGAGUCCAGUGGCCGGUCCGGGCGUUCUGCGCUCGGCCGGCCCAGGAAUCAGCGAACGGCUCCGUAUAUCUGUUGUUACCUGUCGCGGUACGUCCGGUGUGGAUAUAGCACGGAAAAGCUGUGUGUAAAACAGCCAAGCGAGGGCCAAGCCCGCGGGGUAGCCCCCGCGGGCUAUGUGGGUGGGGGGCUACGGCCACGAGCUUACCUCCCUCCCCGGCCCGAGUAUAAGCCUCAAGUACCACGGAGACCCGUCCGCAGUUCCGGGGAGACCCGGCUGGUCCGGCGGUUUGGUGAGAAACGGGGGCCUCUGCCUGUGACCGAGCCGAUGCAGACCGCCCCCCAAAUAGGGAAGGCGUCAGGGGCGAGGGCACGCUGAUAGAGACCAACCACAAGCGCGCGAUGGGCUUCAGACCUAUCAGCUAGAUGGUAGGGUAUUGGCCUACCAUGGCUACGACGGGUACAGAGGAUUAGGGUUUGAUCCUGGAGAGGUAGCCUGAGAGAUCGCUCCCACUUCUAAGGAAGGCAGCAGGCGCGUAACGUUCCCAAUGCCCUGCCGGGUGAGGACGUGACGGGACAUAAUAAUGCCCCUUCAAGUGUGAUGUGGGUAGCUCGCAAUGGGGCGGGCCC